UACGGAGGGUGCGAGCGUUGUCCGGAAUCAUUGGGCGUAAAGGGCGCGUAGGUGGCCUGGUAAGCGUGCGGUGAAAGCCUGGGGCUCAACCCCGGGUCGGCCGUGCGAACUGCGAGGCUUGAGCACUGUAGAGGCAGGCGGAAUUCCGGGUGUAGCGGUGGAAUGCGUAGAGAUCCGGAAGAACACCGGUGGCGAAGGCGGCCUGCUGGGCAGUGGCUGACACUGAGGCGCGACAGCGUGGGGAGCAAACAGG
rnacentral:rRNA from 1 species